rnacentral:rRNA from 1 species
GAGUCAACUCCGCAAGGGGUGGCGCACGGCUCAGUAACACGUAGUCAACCUACCCUAGGGACGGGGAUAACCUCGGGAAACUGAGGCUAAACCCCGAUAGGCUAUAGCCUCUGGAAUGAGCUAUAGCUGAAAUCUAUAUGGCCCUAGGAUGGGACUGCGGCCGAUCAGGUAGUUGGUGGGGUAAUGGCCCACCAAGCCUAUAACCGGUGCGGGCUCUGAGAGGAGGAGCCCGGAGAUGGGCACUGAGACAAGGGCCCAGGUCCUAUGGGGCGCAGCAGGCGCGAAACCUCCGCAAUGGGCGAAAGCCCGACGGGGUUAGUCCGAGUGGUCCCUGCUGAAGGGGCCUUUUGCCAGCUGUAAAAAGGCUGGCGAAUAAGGGGUGGGCAAGUUUGGUGUCAGCCGCCGCGGUAAUACCAGCACCCCGAGUGGUCGGGACGAUUAUUGGGCCUAAAGCAUCCGUAGCCGGCUUAGCAAGUCCUCCGUUAAAUCCAACGGCUUAACCGUUGGGCUGCGGAGGAUACUGCUAAGCUAGGGGGCGGGAGAGGCGAGGGGUAUCCCCAGGGUAGGGGUAAAAUCCGUUGAUCCUGGGAGGACCACCAGUGGCGAAGGCGCCUCGCUAGAACGCGCCCGACGGUGAGGGAUGAAAGCUGGGGGAGCGAACCGGAUUAGAUACCCGGGUAGUCCCAGCCGUAAACGAUGUAGGCUCGAUGUUGGGUUACCCAAGUGGUAGCCCAGUGUCGCAGGGAAGCCGUUAAGCCUACCGCCUGGGGAGUACGGCCGCAAGGCGUGAAACUUAAAGGAAUGGCGGG